rnacentral:lncRNA from 1 species
AGAGCCCUAAUUCAGUUGAGAUCUUCUCGAGCCGUAGGGACCCUCCAAAUCGUCACUGUCUUCGUCCCUCUGGUCCCUCAGAGCGAUCUAGGUUAGUUCCAGCACCUUCAUCUUUCUUCCCGCCGCUUAGGGACCUCCUUUUUGCCAUUAUUUUUUGGUGUUCCCCCCAGUUAGUUUCCUGUGACCCCUCGCCCCUCAUCCUGUCCGUCUUCACC